rnacentral:lncRNA from 1 species
AUUAUAUAAAAAAAAUAAAAAAAUAAAAGAAUGGGAAAUUGUAAAUCGUACUCAUCUCAUUUUAAUGUUCAUAAAAACAAGACUAGUGAAUAUUAUGAAAAUUUAAUAUGUAAUUUUGUUAAAGAUGAUAAACUUAAUUUUUGUCAGAAGGCUUUUGUCAUAUACGAAUUUUUAAAAAAGAAACAAGAAAACAAAGAUGUUUACGUUAACUAUCUCAUUAGUACCGCCCAGAAGAAGCGAGUAAAGAAUGCCGUAGUAUAUUUAAACAAGGAUUAUGAUAUUGAUGUUUUAAAUUUUUUAUUAAAAUUAUUUAAAAAAAUGAACAAUGAAUAUUAUAGCAAUGUAAGUACUUUCCAUUUUAGUUAUUAUUAUAAUUACUUUCUUCGGGAUAAUAAAAGGUUUAAUAACAUUUCAGAUAAAUUGGACAUUAUACAAAAUUUAUAUAAUUUUAUACGAUUAAAAUUUAUUAUCGAAAGUAUUUGCCUACAUGUAUAUUUUGGUUUAGUAAUAAACUCUAAAGCAAAGGGGUACACACAGUUUAAGGAUAACGAUGAGAAUAAUAAUAAUAAUAAUAAUAAUAAUAAUAAUAAUAAUAGUAGUAGUAGUAGUAGUAUUAGUAGUAGUAGGGAUAGAUGUAUGAGCAGCAGUACCAACAGCAACAGUAACAGCAAUGGUAGUAGUAAUACUAACAAGUUAAAAAAGGAAAAGCCUUUUAAAUUUUUAGCAUAUAACAGAAAUACCAUGAACAACAUAUCAUCAGAAAAAAAGAAAAUGAUAUAUUUAAUAAAAAAUAAUUCUAAAAAAUUUGAACUAUUUUGCAAAAAUAAUUUAAAUUGUGAUGUGUUAGAUAAUUUUAAAAUGUUAAAUGUUAUAUUUUUAUACAUUUUGAAUAAUAAUUACAAAAUAAGAAGUAUAUGUUAUAAUAUAUAUACUAUUUUGUUUUUUUUUAAUAGAUAUCAUAAAAUGCAUACAACUGAUUAUAGCAUGAGGAAAAACAGUACUACAUCUUUAGCAGAAGAGGAAAGUAAAGCUGAAAUACUCGUAGAAGAAAAAGAAGCAGAAAUAAAUGAACAAAAUGACAAGAUAAAAAAAACAAAAAGUGAACACAUCCUUAGUAAUAACCAAUUAUUAAUUUCAAACGUUUUUGAUAAUGAUAAUUUAAAAUAUUCAUUAGAGCAUCGAAAUGUGUAUAUAACUUAUUUGUUUGUUUCUUUAUGUCUUAGCUUUGAUAAUAAGAUUGAGGAAGAUGUUUUAUUUAACAGUAAUAUAAAUAUGCGACAAAAUAAUACAUGUGCUCUUAGUCAUUUUACUGAAUUCUUAGAUAUAUGUACAAACUUAGCAUCAUCGAAAAAAAUAAAUAUAAUAUUUUCACCAGGAAAUGAAGAAAAAAAAAAAAAAAAAAAUGUAUAUCAUUGUUUAUUAAAAAAUAUCAAAGACUCAUUUAUUAAUAAUAGUUUUACAAAUUCACAUUUUAUAUGUCGAAACCAAUAUAUAAAAACAAUUUUAAAUAUUGGAAAUAGCAAUUAUUGCAUAAACAACAAUAUGAUGGUUUUCUGUUUUAUACUUUUUGAAAACUCGGAACAUACUUUUACUUCUACAAAUGAUAGAAAAAAAAAAAUGAAUAAACAAAAUGAAAAUAAAAAUGAAAAUAAAAAUGAAAAUAAAAAUAUUCCUACUGUUAUGAAUAAUUUAUACCAAAAACAAAGUGUGCAAAAUGAGGAAAAAAUAAAGGCAGACGAAUGUUCAAAACUAUUGAAGAACAGCGAGAAUAAUCAAAAUGGUAAUUAUAAUGAUAACACAAAUACUGAUGUUGACGGAUUUCAUGACAAUGAUGGUGAUAAAAAAUGUGGACACAACAACAGCGGGGAUGAUAAUGACGACAAUCAAAGCAACAAUAACAACCACGACAGCAACAGUAACAGCAACAACAGCAACAACGUUAAAAAUUGCGUGCCAGAAACCAAAGAAGAAACGUACACUCAUAUAAACUCUGAAGUAAAAAAAAACACCCACGUUGAAUUCGAUUUAAGCAAUAUAGGUUUUUUUGGAAUACACUUACAUGAUUUUAAUUUCGAGUGUAAAGAAACAUUUAAUGAAGAAUUUAAAAAAUAUAUAGAUUUGUAUACAAUUGAAAAAAAAAGUAAUAAUUAUAUUUAUUUAAAAAAAAAAAUCAAAAAUAAAACGGAUUACCAAUUGAUAGAAACCAUUAAAAGGAAUAUUACACACAUUAUAAACGUUUUAAGAACGUUAAGAAAUAAGGAGGUAUGUUUUAUAUCUCCUCGAAAUUAUUAUGAUAACAUGUUGAAAAAAACAAGCAAACAUAAAAAAGGCCAUAAAAGUGGAAAAACAAACACAAAUAAUACAAAAACAGCUAUGGUUAUAAACAGUAAUAAUAAAAAUUUCAAUUCAGAAGAAUCGUUUAAACAAAAAAAAGAUAAUGCGACGAAUUUUAUAAUUAACGAUUUAAAAAAUACAUUUCAUUCUGAACCAGGCAUUUAUACGAAUGGAUGUGUGAAUAAUAAUAAUUUUAAUGAAAAAGGAGAAAGACACAAAAAAAAAAAUGUCUACAUAAAAAGUGAACAUAAUCUAAAGAACCCUUUUUUAUUAGGUGUACAUGAUACAUUUGUACCUUUCGAAAUGGAAAGUUUAAUUUCUAAACUAACACGUUAUAAUAUUAAGGAUAAAGAAAUAAUAAUAAAAAAUAAGAAGGAAUUAUAUAAGCAACAAUAUGAACAUGCUAGGGUUCCUACUACUACAAAAAAUGAUAACCAUGGUAGUAUAAUAAAUAAAAAGUACUGCAACCACUACUGCGAUCACUUUGGUAAUAAAAAUGGACAGUUUGGUUUGGGAAAAAGUGAAAAAAUUAACAGCGAUAAAUAUGUUACUGAUGGUAACGAACCCAUGAAGAAGGAACAGUGUAAACAGAAUCAAAUUGGGGUGAAUACGCGAGUAGCAGUAAAUGUAAAUGUAAAUGCGAGUGUUAGUAUAGGUGAAAGCGCAGAUGCAGAUAUGAAGGUAGGUGCUACAGGUACUGGAACUGGUAAAGUAACAACAGUCGAGUAUAAUGAUAACUUUUACGAUUCAUAUGAAAAAAUGGGUGAACUAAAUAAAAACAGAAUAGGUACAAAAAUUUCAAACCCAUUAAAAUUACAGCGAGUGUACAGAAGUGAUAAAAAUAGAAAAGAAGACAAUUUUCUACGUAAUGGUUACAAAGAUGGAAAUAACCAAAUGAAUGAACAAAAUAAAAUAAAAAAGGAAAGGGAUGUAAAAGAGAGCGAUUUGAAAAAUCGGAAGAGAAAUAUAAAUAAUAUGAAUAGCACAACUGGCACAAACGACACAAACGACACAAACGACACAAACGACAUGAAAUGUAUUAACAAUAUAAGAAAUGUUAAAGCUAAUUGGAAAGAAAAAAACGACCUCGACGUUUUGAAAAUAUACAUUCAACAUAAGUCUAUAGACGAGAUAUGUUAUUUUGUAAAUAGUAGGUAUAUAGACAUACAUUUUAACAUGUUUAAAGUGUUAAAAGGUGAAAAGAAAUUAAUAUAUAGUACCUAUAUGAAUAAAGAAAAAGAAAACAAGUUUGAUAACGAUGAUGGUUAUAAUAUCGGCGAUAGUUACAAUAACAAUAUUGAUAAUAAUAUUGUUAGUACUAGUAAUAUUAGUAAUAAUAAUAAUAGUAAUAAUAAUAAUAAUAAUAGUAAUAAUAAUAACAAUAAUAAUAAAAAGAAUACGGAAGAAAAAGCGAUUAACUAUAAAAUAAGUUUAGAUAAAAGUGGAAAUAUCUUUACAUAUAUAAUGAAUGUACUUUUUUUACAUUUAAAUUAUAAUAGAUUAUAUUAUAUAUAUAUUCCUAAAAAGUUAAUACGCAUGGAUAAAGAUUUAGGAUCCGAAAACGAAAACGAAAACGAAAACGAAAACCAUAGCCAAAAUCAUAGCCAAAACGAAAACGAUAAUUUAUUUUUUAAUUUGAUGUACUGCAAUAGUGAUAUAAUUUUUGAAAACUUUUGUAUUAUGCCUAGCAAUCAGUUUAAGGGCUCUAUUUUUGAUAUGCAUAUUCCAACCUACUUCGAAAAAAAUAAUUUUUUAGAAUUGGUUUUACAUCUUCUGACAGAUGUAAUAAGGAUUUAUAACAAGAUAAACAAAAUAAAAAAACAUUUUGAAAAUAAAUGUAAAGAAUUAAUGAAAAUUUUCUUUGACUAUUUUAACCCUAACAUAAAAAAAAUAAAAGGUAUAAUUUAUAAUAAAGAGAAAAGACAAGCAUCAUAUACUAGUAUCAACAAGAACGAUACACAAAAAAAAAACUACAUAACAAAUUCAAACUACGGGAAGGUUACGAUUGGUGCCAACCGAAACCCUUCUACACUUAAACGCUAUUCCAAUAAUGGAAAAUGUGUUAGCAUAAAAGUAGAUGAUGCUGUAGAUUUAAAAAAAAAAGUAAUUCUUAACAUGAAAUACAAUAGUAAAGUGCGUAGUAGUAGUAAUAAUAGUAAUUAUAGUAGUAAUAAUACACUUAACGUUAAAAGCCCGUUUAACAAUAGUAACACUAAAAACAUCAGUAACACUAAAAACAUCAGUAACACAUCUAACUGUAAGAGCACCGUGUGCAAUCUUGAAGGAUAUAACAUGCUUAACAACUAUUACUUAAAAAAGUUACACAAUGGAAACUUGUUUGAUAUUGGAUAUAGAUACAAAAAUAUAUAUAUAAAAAUAAUAGACUCUAAAUUAUAUGAUUUUUUGUUAGAUUAUUUAAAUUAUUUAAAAAAGAAUAAUAGUUUUUUUUUUUUAUGUCCAUAUAUAUUUGUUUACAGAAUAAAAACUCUUUGUUUCCUUUUUGUACCAUUAUGUAACAAUUUUCAUUUAAUUGUUUACUUUUUCUUUUUCCAUUUUUUAAAUUGUUCAGUUUUUUUUAAUUUCAAAUCAUGUUUUAGCAGAAGCAUUCAUAAUGAGCAUGAUAAUGUACCCAGAAUACAUUUGUUUACCCCUAAUACUAAUAAUUUUAUAUAUAUUAAUAACAUAAUAAAAAUAUUAAGUAUGUUUAAAAACGUGGAUAAUAAAAAUGAUAGUUAUUGUAGUGUAUAUACAAAAUGUGUCCCUCUGUUCAAACAGAUGCAGAAUAGUUAUAAUAUUCAAACUAAUUGUUACCAGUAUUACAAAUGGAAAAGAAAUAAAGUUAUUAUAGACAUUCGUAACUCUUUUUCGUCGCCAUAUUUUAUACGUACAAAAAGUUUUAUUAGUUUUAUUGAGAAAACAAGUGCACAUAUAAAUUUAAAAAAAUUAUAUUUAAGUGAUGAUAAUACAUUUUUAUUUAUUUUAGACAAAAAAGGUUGUAGUAAAUCAUCAAUUGAUCUUUCUUGUGCGAAUACCAAUGGAAUAGUUUGUAUGUUCAAUUAUAUUUUUAAUAUUUACACAUACCAUCAUGAUGAAAAAUUAAUAGGCUCUAGUAAAGAAUUGUUUCGAUAUACUAGGUAUGUAAUUACACCUUACUUUAAUGACAUAUAUAUAAGUAGAAAGGAUUUGUAUAUGUAUUUAAAAACACUUGAAGAAUCGAAACAUGAUAACACAUCUGACAAUGAUGUUAGUAACCAUCGAACAACGGAUUGUGUUAAAAAGAAUAGUGGAACAGAUGGAUCAUUUAAUAUGUACAACAAUGGUGAUAAAAUGACAACUACGCAAAAUAAAAAUAGAAAAAACAUAGAAAAGGUAAAAAAACAUGAAUAUUAUUUUAUUCAUAAUUUAUAUGAAGACUGUGGUGAUAUUUUUGUAAAUUAUUUUUAUGUAGUAUUAAAUAAACUAAUAAUAGAACUAGUGAACCACUUCAAAACUAACUACUUUUUAAACAUAAGAUUUUUUUUAGAUUUAUUAAAAAAGUACAAAAUAAACUUUGAUUUAUAUUUUUGGAUAGUAUAUGAUAAUUAUAUAAAUAUAUAUAAAAAGUACUAUGUCCAUGCAAAGCUAGUUAAUUUUUUUAAUAACAAAAAAAACAGUAAUAAUAGUAGUAGCCACUAUAGGAUCAAUAAACAUAAUUCUUAUAAUAAAAAUAAU